rnacentral:rRNA from 1 species
AACUUUCAACAACGGAUCUCUUGGUUCUGGCAUCGAUGAAGAACGCAGCGAAAUGCGAUAAGUAAUGUGAAUUGCAGAAUUCAGUGAAUCAUCGAAUCUUUGAACGCACAUUGCGCCCUGUGGUAUUCCGCAGGGCAUGCCUGUUCGAGCGUCAUUAUAACCACUCAAGCCUGGCUUGGUGUUGGGGUUUGCGGUUCCG